rnacentral:rRNA from 1 species
AACACAUGCAAGUCGACGGAUGAGAAGAGCUUGCUCUUCGAUUCAGCGGCGGACGGGUGAGUAAUACCUAGGAAUCUGCCUGGUAGUGGGGGACAACGUUUCGAAAGGAACGCUAAUACCGCAUACGUCCUACGGGAGAAAGCAGGGGACCUUCGGGCCUUGCGCUAUCAGAUGAGCCUAGGUCGGAUUAGCUAGUUGGUGAGGUAAUGGCUCACCAAGGCUACGAUCCGUAACUGGUCUGAGAGGAUGAUCAGUCACACUGGAACUGAGACACGGUCCAGACUCCUACGGGAGGCAGCAGUGGGGAAUAUUGGACAAUGGGCGAAAGCCUGAUCCAGCCAUGCCGCGUGUGUGAAGAAGGUCUUCGGAUUGUAAAGCACUUUAAGUUGGGAGGAAGGGCAGUAAGCGAAUACCUUGCUGUUUUGACGUUACCGACAGAAUAAGCACCGGCUAACUCUGUGCCAGCAGCCGCGGUAAUACAGAGGGUGCAAGCGUUAAUCGGAAUUACUGGGCGUAAAGCGCGCGUAGGUGGUUCGUUAAGUUGGAUGUGAAAUCCCCGGGCUCAACCUGGGAACUGCAUCCAAAACUGGCGAGCU